AUGCCUUAAACUAAUUAGUAAGGAAAACAAAGUGGGAGCCGGUCGCAGCAUCUCACAACAUGAUGCAAUAAUUUUUGGACGUGUGUUGACGCUGCUUACUUUGCUCACAUGUGCG
rnacentral:snRNA from 1 species